rnacentral:rRNA from 1 species
CACAUGCAAGUCGAGCGGUAGAGAGAAGCUUGCUUCUCUUGAGAGCGGCGGACGGGUGAGUAAUGCCUAGGAAUCUGCCUGGUAGUGGGGGAUAACGCUCGGAAACGGACGCUAAUACCGCAUACGUCCUACGGGAGAAAGCAGGGGACCUUCGGGCCUUGCGCUAUCAGAUGAGCCUAGGUCGGAUUAGCUAGUUGGUGAGGUAAUGGCUCACCAAGGCGACGAUCCGUAACUGGUCUGAGAGGAUGAUCAGUCACACUGGAACUGAGACACGGUCCAGACUCCUACGGGAGGCAGCAGUGGGGAAUAUUGGACAAUGGGCGAAAGCCUGAUCCAGCCAUGCCGCGUGUGUGAAGAAGGUCUUCGGAUUGUAAAGCACUUUAAGUUGGGAGGAAGGGCAGUUACCUAAUACGUAUCUGUUUUGACGUUACCGACAGAAUAAGCACCGGCUAACUCUGUGCCAGCAGCCGCGGUAAUACAGAGGGUGCAAGCGUUAAUCGGAAUUACUGGGCGUAAAGCGCGCGUAGGUGGUUCGUUAAGUUGGAUGUGAAAUCCCCGGGCUCAACCUGGGAACUGCAUUCAAAACUGUCGAGCUAGAGUAUGGUAGAGGG